rnacentral:lncRNA from 1 species
AGGGCAAUAUGCAUACUAGAACACAAGUCUAACAAUACAAAACUGUUCUUCUUCACUUGCCACUUGUAAUCCGCAAGACAAUGAGGACCGAGUGCGCAGCUCUUUGCAUUGUCCUGGUGAUUAUGUCCUCAACUCUCUCAUCCUCAAAGGAUGGUACGUAUAUAACCUCUUAUGUAGUUACAAUAUUUCCAUUCCUGCAUGGUUUAAAAACUCGGCUGUGGAUCAUAUAUGCAUGCAGUUGUUCAGAGGAUAGGUCUGAUUUUACCAGGAUGCACUCUACCGCUUUGCCAAACAAGUUGCUCGGAGUUUGCCAAGAAGAAUGGCGCAGUGGUAAAGAUGUGCUUCUGUGCGGCAGAGAAUAAUUGUGAAUGCUUGUAUGUGAAGCAACAGCAUCCGCUCCUUACUACAGAAGUCAUGGGAUUAGCUGCAGCGGAGGACGAUAAUGGAACUUUUGUUUGAAUAUACACGAUUAAAAUUGACACAGACCUUUUUUCAAAAAAAAAAAUUGACACAGACCAUGGAUAUAGGGGUCAUUACAUGACUGCAGAUAAUGACAUAUAUAUUGCUAGCUCUUGCAUGUAAUUUAUCCUGUAAUUUAUCCAUGAUCUGUUUCCAUCUCACUCUAAUAAAAAUGGUUGCGCAUCUUCCUUAGAUAUACUUUUGUUCACCAAUGUAUAUCCACCAUUCUGGUUAUAACUAAAUUAUUUUGAGGCC